rnacentral:rRNA from 1 species
GAAAACUCCGGUGGUACGGGAUGAGCCCGCGUCCGAUUAGCCAGUUGGCGGGGUAACGGCCCACCAAAGCGACGAUCGGUAGCCGGCCUGAGAGGGUGGACGGCCACAUUGGGACUGAGACACGGCCCAAACUCCUACGGGAGGCAGCAGUGGGGAAUAUUGCACAAUGGGGGAAACCCUGAUGCAGCGACGCCGCGUGAGUGAAGAAGCGCCUCGGCGCGUAAAGCUCCGUCAGCAGGAACGAUAAUGACGGUACCUGAAGAAGAAGCCCCGGCUAACUACGUGCCAGCAGCCGCGGUAAUACGUAGGGGGCAAGCGUUAUCCGGAUUUACUGGGUGUAAAGGGAGCGUAGACGGCGGGGCAAGUCUGGAGUGAAAGGCCGGGGCCCAACCCCGGGACCGCUCUGGAAACUGCCCGGCUGGAGUGCGGGAGAGGUAAGCGGAAUUCCUAGUGUAGCGGUGAAAUGCGUAGAUAUUAGGAGGAACACCAGCGGCGAAGGCGGCUUACUGGACCGUGACUGACGUUGAGGCUCGAAAGCGUGGGGAGCAAACAGGAUUAGAUACCCUGGUAGUCCACGCCGUAAACGAUGAUCACUAGGUGUCGGGGGUUAACGGACCCCCG